GGAGAAACGGCUCAGUGGUUAAGAGCACUGGCUUCUCUUCCAGAGAAGCUGGGUUCCAUUCCCAGCAUCCUCA
rnacentral:tRNA from 1 species